UACAGAGGGUGCGAGCGUUGUUCGGAAUUAUUGGGCGUAAAGCGCUUGUAGGCGGCACGUCAAGUCGCGUGUGAAAUCCCCAGGCUUAACCUGGGAAGUGCGCGCGAAACUGACGAGCUUGAGUGCCGGAGAGGGUCGCGGAAUUCCCGGUGUAGAGGUGAAAUGCGCAGAUAUCAGGAGGAACACCGGUGGCGAAGGCGGUUCUCUGGGCCUGUACUGACGCUGAGGAGCGAAAGCGUGGGGAGCGAACAGG
rnacentral:rRNA from 1 species